GUAGGUGGCAAGCGUUGUCCGGAAUUAUUGGGCGUAAAGCGCGCGCAGGCGGUCCUUUAAGUCUGAUGUGAAAGCCCACGGCUCAACCGUGGAGGGUCAUUGGAAACUGGGGGACUUGAGUACAGAAGAGGAAAGCGGAAUUCCAAGUGUAGCGGUGAAAUGCGUAGAGAUUUGGAGGAACACCAGUGCCGAAGGCGGCUUUCUGGUCUGUAACUGACGCUGAGGCGCGAAAGCGUGGGGAGCAAACAGGGAUUAGAUACCCUGGUAGUCCACGCCGUAAACGAUGAGUGCUAAGUGUUAGGGGGUUUCCCGCCCCUUAGUGCUGCAGCUAACGCAUUAAGCACUCCGCCUGGGGAGUACGGCCGCAAGGCUG
rnacentral:rRNA from 1 species